rnacentral:rRNA from 1 species
AUACGGAGGGUGCAAGCGUUAAUCGGAAUUACUGGGCGUAAAGCGCUCGUAGGCGGUUUGUUAAGUCGGAUGUGAAAUCCCCGGGCUCAACCUGGGAACUGCAUUCGAAACUGGCAAGCUAGAGUAUGAGAGAGGGUAGUGGAAUUCCGGGUGUAGCGGUGAAAUGCGUAGAUAUCUGGAGGAACAUCAGUGGCGAAGGCGGUUGCCUGGACCAAAACUGGCGCUGAGGUGCGAAAGCGUGGGGAGCAAACAGGAUUAGAUACCCGAGUAGUCC